GUACGAAUAGCGUCGGUAUCCAAUGUAAACAAAGUGCAGACGACGCGUUUUCCAAUAGUCGGAUAUACCCGAUAUCUUGAAGGAUGGUGAAAGCCUACAAAUGCAUUUGCUGUAAUAAGCGUGCAAAACCAAAAGAUCGUCGUCCAUUGACUGACACUGUUAAAAACUAUCUGCGAAGGGUCUUGCCUGCUGUAGAUCCAACAGACAGUGAUGUCAUUUGUUUUCAAUGUCGUGUCAAAAGCUACAAGAAUGCCCCAAAGCCUAGGCAAUGUUCAGACAACAUCAGCAAUGAUCCUGACUACCAACCCCAACCAUCUACAUCCAGACAGCCAUUUAGCCCAUUAUCAAUCACCCUGCAAAUUCCAUCAACCAUAAGAAGCCAUUCCAGAUGUUUUAUAUGUAAGCGCCCAGGUCCAAAACUGAUCUCAUUGCCAGCAGACGGUCGUUUAUCCGCCUUUAUAGAUCACAACAUUAUUAUUUCCGCGGAUUCCAGAUGUUGUCCAUCUCACGUCUAUGAAGGGACAUUGACCGAGACAGCUUUAAAGGAUAUGAAGACUAUUACAGAGACAUCUCAAAUGAAUAGAACAGGCGUCAAUGACUUGUUACAAAAAAUUAGAAAGCU